rnacentral:piRNA from 1 species
UGUGUCCCUUGAUAUUCUCCCACC